GUAUUUUAUUUAUUCUAUUUACAGUGCCAACAAUGAAACCCUAAUCAAACUUGCUAGACUCUCUAUGAUUAAUGAUGAUUUGUAGAUAAAUUCUCUCCAAAAUGGACAAAAAAUUCUUCAAAUUCAUCAUUUAAUCAUUUUUAAAAUAAUAUUAUCCAUUCAAUUAUUAACCCUCUUUAAUUCAGUGGAGAUCCCAUCACUAAAUUUACAUCAUUAUGCUCAACCACACAAACCCUACAGAUGCUGCGUUUUCUAUAAAAACACUAUAGAUUUCUCUUUCUCUCCUCCAUUUUGAACUCUUGGCUCUGUACUAAGUUUUGGUAAAAAAAAGAAAGAGUGCAAGAAUGAAGGUUGUAGUAGUGAUUGCUCUAGCACUGAUGAUGGUUGGAUGCUGCUUUGCUGGGAACAAGAAAUUAGAUUUAGUUGUUGGUGAAGAUGAGAAAUGGAGCAGCCGCCACCUUGUCGGAAACCAGCAAGAAGUUAAUAAGCAUCAGGACAACGAUAACUGCUGUGACCACCAUUCUAUUCCUAGGGGUGGUUAUGGUGGUGGUGGUGUCGGCGAUAAUAAUGAAGGUGGCAAAGUUUAAUAUAUCUUAAAUCAUAGUUAAGCGGUAAAAUAAUGUUUUGUAAUAAAAGGGUUGAGUUUCUUCUUCUUCCUUGGAAUAUUGAUAAGGUUUGCUGGUUCUAAUAUUCAUAGCUGAGGUAAGCCUCAAGUUCUUCAAAAUUCAAGCUUUAGUCUAUGUACACGGGACGGAGGAAAGGUACGUGCCAUACCGGCGAUCGAAAAAUGCUUUGAAGGGGAUGAAUGUGUCACAGCGGCGCAGCCGGUGCUCUACCAAAGGGAAACUCCUGGCUCCGCCACUGUUUAUGUAUGUCUUAUGUAACCACACCACAUAUAUAAAUAAAUAAAAUUUUAUUA